rnacentral:rRNA from 1 species
GAUGAACGCUAGCGGCAGGCCUAAUACAUGCAAGUCGAGGGGUAGAGAAGAGCUUGCUUUUCUUGAGACCGGCGCACGGGUGCGUAACGCGUAUGCAACCUACCUUUAUCAGGGGGAUAGCCUCUCGAAAGAGAGAUUAACACCGCAUAAAAACACAGUACGGCAUCGUACAAUGUUCAAAUAUUUAUAGGAUAAAGAUGGGCAUGCGUGACAUUAGCUAGUUGGUGAGGUAAGGGCUCACCAAGGCGACGAUGUCUAGGGGAUCUGAGAGGAUGACCCCCCACACUGGUACUGAGACACGGACCAGACUCCUACGGGAGGCAGCAGUAAGGAAUAUUGGUCAAUGGGGGCAACCCUGAACCAGCCAUGCCGCGUGCAGGAAGACGGCCCUACGGGUUGUAAACUGCUUUUAUACGGGAAUUAACCCCUUUACGUGUAAAGGGUUGAAUGUACCGUAAGAAUAAGGAUCGGCUAACUCCGUGCCAGCAGCCGCGGUAAAAC